ensembl:lncRNA
GGUCGCUGUAAGUACAUCUUCCCUAAGCACAGGGGGGAUGCGAGACAAGGAGGUAGGUGGAUGGGAGGGUGGCCAGUGCAGUCAGAGCCGUGGAUUGGAGGGCUGGAGAUGCUUUUUGCAUUCCAAUGAGACUCCAUCAGAAAAUGUUCAGCAUCAAGGUUAAUCUAGAUGUCAAAGUCUGCUGACAGUGGAGGAGAUUGCUCCUGGGUGACAUCCUGUCUGAAGUCUUAACGCUGCAGUCAAUUUCAUCCCUCCCUCCAGGAAAUGGAGUCGGGCUUGCCAUUUUUGUGGACGUAUGCAUCACUGUAUAUGGCAGGAUUUUCUCGUGUUUUGUCAUUGUAUGAUGCAUGUGGUAUCAAUGCUGUGUCUGAAUGCAUCUAGGACAACAGUCGGAUCAACUGUGAUUGGCUAAUUCUUUCAAACAAGCUCGGCCCAAAAAAACACAACAUGCAAAGUCAAGGUAAAUCAGUACAAAACUGCUUAUGAGACAACUGUCAUAGUUAUAUAUCAUAGGACUAACAUCUGACAGAAAAUGGCAUCACACAAUCUUAUUUGAACUUUUCUUCAAAAUACCUAUCUUCUGAACCUGUACGGUUUUACUGAAGUGUCCAAGAUAAAAGAGGUAACUGCUGGUUUCUAGUCUCAUAAAUGAAGAGGUGUUUCUAAAAUCAGACACAUAAUGUUUUAUUAAAUGCUUUGAAGGUAAGUCAAAAAAUAUGAAGUAUGUCGGGAAGCAGAGAGAGGAUAACUACCUGUUGUUGGUUGGAUGGCUGUUCUGCAACACCAGCACUUAUGCUGACUCCAUAGCGCAUAAGAUAUUCAUCCUGUCCACAAUUCAGUAACAUUACCUUAUGGAAAAUUAUGAACGUAGCAGCAAAACUUGAUAAGCUGGCAACAAGAAAGUAUCUUAGACUAUGUUUCUGGUGUAUGGGGACUAUUGGAGACAGGGAGGCAGGCAGGUCGUGUGUGCGUCUGUGGUGUAGCAGCCUAGCUCCACAAGCCCCUGGGUUAUGAAGUGCUCAAAGAGAGCUCAUUUCAACUGCAAUGUUCCGCUUUUCUGCUUCCCUCCUCACUCCUCCCUCCUCCCCAUCAUGAUUAAGGUCUUAAACCCCUCAUCAAUCGUCAGCCUCUUCACUGCAGAAGCUCUAACAGGACACCGGCAGCCUGCUCUGUUCUGCUCUCCUAUCUGCUCUGUUCUGCUCUUGUUCUGCUCUCCUAUCUGCUCUGUACUGCUCUGGCCAAUAAACAGCACUAUGCAUUGCCACAGGAAGAUGUUUGGAGGUGGGGAUGUUGCGAUUUUUACCCUGUUCGCGCUACAGACAGCUAAUACAGGACUAAUAAAGGCCCAGUGUACAACUUUUGUGAGAAUUUAUUUGAUAAAAAUUUGAAUUAAUAUAUUUUUGGAUUGCGAUUUUUCAGGGGGUGCUACAGCAACCUCAGCACCCCUAAUUCCCACAGCUAUGGUGCUAUGUCCCUGUGCUAAAACAUUCAAGCAUAUGACCUUGCACCAUCAAAGCUCUGCUCUGCCCUCCUCUCCAUAGCUUCUGACCUGCAGGGAUUACCCCCAUCAUGGCCAUCAAAUGUAAGGGAUAUCUUAAAGCUGGGGCCAAAAACUCAUUUCAUUGGUCAUUUCCCCCCUUGUCUGCAAGGUGUACUGGUUAGAGUGAGCUGCAACCUUUGGAGCUGCCCCACUGUCCACCUCUUCCCUGUCACUGUCACUCUCCCUGGAUGAUCUCUCCACUCAGUCACACACCAUCUCAGGCCAUCUCUGGUAUUCUUAGAAACAACUAAUUCAUCUAUUUCCUCUCUGAUGGCUCUGGGGGAUAAAUAAUAAAUAUACUUCACAUAAAGACACGUUGCCCUCCAACGCUCUCUCUCUCCCCUCAAUAGCCCUCUGAAAGUCCCCCAUCCACCAUCUUCCCCCCCGCUUGCUGCUCCAUCAGUACUAAAGCAUACUCUGUCCAUGUGUCAUUGACAAGGUAAAUGGGGUUAAUGCUUGGCUCUGGCGGUGGCCUGUCUGUCACAAUCACACACCUAAUGAUGGGAGUAAUCCUGAGGAUACAGUGACAGGAGUUGUGAUGUCCCACUCCCAGGCUAUGAGGGGACUAUGAGGGGGCUAUGAGGGGGAUAUGAGGGGGCUAUGAGGGGGAUAUGAGGGGACUAUCAGGGGGAUAUGAGGGGACUAUCAGGGGACUGUCAGGGGGAUAUGAGGGGACUAUCAGGGGGAUAUGAGGGGACUAUCAAGGGGAUAUGAGGGGACUAUCAGGGGGAUAUGAGGGGACU